rnacentral:rRNA from 1 species
AGGAAUACCGGCGAGAAAUUGCCGACAAGACCGCAUAGGCUUUCUCUGGUAGAGCAGAGAGAGCAAAGUGUCGCUCGUUGAGAGUGAGACGCUUGAGGAUGGGCCUGUGGCCGAUUAGCUAGUUGGAGAGGUAAGAGCUCCCCAAGGCGACGAUCGGUAGCUGGUCUGAGAGGACGAUCAGCCACACUGGGAUUGAGAACGGCCCAG